rnacentral:rRNA from 1 species
UACGUAGGGUGCAGGCGUUAAUCGGAAUACUGGGCGUAAGGCGUGCGCAGGCGGUCUUUUAAGUCAGAUGUGAAAUCUCCGGGCUUAACUCGGAGCGGCCAAGUGAUACUGUCGUGCUAGAGUGCGGAAGGGGCUACUGGGAAUUCUCGGUGUAGCGGUGAAAUGCGUAGAUAUCGGGAGGAAUACCGAUGGCGAAGGCAGGUCUCUGGGCUAUAACUGACGCUCAUGCACGAAAGCGUGGGGAGCAAACAGG